UACGGAGGGUGCGAGCGUUGUCCGGAAUCACUGGGCGUAAAGGGCGUGUAGGCGGCCUGAUAAGUAGGGGGUGAAAUCCUGCGGCUUAACCGCAGGGCUGCCUUCUAAACUGUCAGGCUGGAGCACAGUAGAGGCAGGUGGAAUUCCCGGUGUAGCGGUGGAAUGCGUAGAGAUCGGGAAGAACAUCAGUGGCGAAGGCGGCCUGCUGGGCUGUUGCUGACGCUGAGGCGCGACAGCGUGGGGAGCAAACAGG
rnacentral:rRNA from 1 species